UGUAAUAAUGGUAGCCAUUUUAUAAAAACACAUUAAAUGUGAUUUUUUAAACAUUUAAGGGUUUUUACCCUAACCACUGGUUAUAUCCCUGGGUUGAUUUUUAAACUAUAGAAUGUGUUUGUUCGAAGUUUUCUCUUCUUUUGAGGUUUUUACACCUAUAAGACGAUAGCUCUGAUGAUGGCAUUAAUAUGCUGAAAGUACUUAGCUGAUUUAAUAAAUUUAUUUACACAC
rnacentral:lncRNA from 1 species